ACAAAAACAUUCGGACCGUCGGUCUACCGAGCAAUAUCACCCGCUCGGUGGAAGAUCUUCCUUUCGUCGUUAAGC
rnacentral:pre_miRNA from 1 species